UCCCUUGAAUUCCCUCGUAGUUGUUAUCCUUCAAAACUGCCGAAAAAAACGGGGGGUUUUCUCAGAUUGGUGGCAAAAGUAAGAAACCAUGGAAAAAAAAAACCUUAAACCUGAAUUGUUGCUAAAGAAUUUCUCUCUCUCGUUUUGCACGAUAUAAGUUACUUCCACUACUUUCAAGAUGCCUAAAGCUUAAGAUCCAUUUUAAAUCAUCAAAGAAGAGACUCAAGAUUCCAUUGAUAAGUUGCAAUCAAGUUUUCAUCAGCGGGAAUGGAUUUCCCGAUACUUGAGAACAAUUACAUCUCACAAGAAAGCUACUUGCUAAAUGUGAGAGCACCAAAUGGAAGGUAUCGGAAUUAAGCUUUCCUCUUUAAUUGGACUGGAUCUUUUAGAUAGGAAAAACUUAAUGUUUUGAUGAUUGAUGGGGUUUACUUUUAUCUUUGUUGGGUUAAUUGAACAAUUUUAAUCCAACCUUGAACUGCGUAUAAAGGCAUCUUUUUCUUGAUAGGAAGGUGGAUGAAUUGGACAAACAAUAAGUGUGGCGGCUAAAGAAUCUUCUUGGUAUGUCAUCGAUGAUAGAAAACUUUAAAAAAGGAGCAGAUGGACCACGACUGCCUGUGCUCAGCUCAGGCAUUGUCUUAUACUCUUAUUAUUAUAUACGAUGGAAUUGGAUUGUGUGCAACUCAUGUUUAAUCUUAAUCUUGAAGUCAUGGAUCCCUUUUAAGGAUUACUAUGUCGGAUCAGGUAGGAAAUGUGAAGAAGUCUGUAGUCACUCGAAAAGAGAAUGGUAGUACAGCAAGUUUGAUGCGCCAUGAAUUAAUGAAAUUCCCAAAUCAGGUAGCAAGACGGGGAGUUGGAUGAGCUUAGUGCUAGUGUUGAGAGAGUAGGAGGUGUUGAGCUUACAAUACAUGAACUUCUGGCACAGGGGAGUGUGCUUACUUGAUUGUUUUCUUUUAAUCUUAUUCAUGAAUGAAUUGUAACUAAUUUAAUAUGUUCUGCUCAAUAUCAGUGUAGGAUAUAUAUAACUAUUUCAUAUUCUAAUAUUUUGGUCUUUCAGGAGAAAAUAAUAGGUGGACUGGGUACUGAAAUGGGCAGCACAACAAACCGACUGGAUUUUGUUCAGGUGAUUCUUUUUAAUGUGGUAUUGUAGCAUAUAAAACGAUCCUAUCCGCAAUCUGAAAACCAAAUGUUUAUGCUUUAAUGCUAACAAUUAAAC